rnacentral:rRNA from 1 species
CCUACGGGAGGCAGCAGUGAGGAAUAUUGGUCAAUGGCCGGAAGGCUGAACCAGCCAAGCCGCGUGAAGGACGAAGGUGCCAAGCAUUGUAAACUUCUUUUGUCAAGGGACAAAAUCAGGCUCGAGAGCCUGACCGAGGGUACUUGAAGAAACAGCAUCGGCUAACUCCGUGCCAGCAGCCGCGGUAAUACGGAGGAUGCGAGCGUUAUCCGGAUUUAUUGGGUUUAAAGGGUGCGUAGGCGGACUGUUAAGUCAGCGGUAAAAGCCCGGGGCUCAACCCCGGCGAGCCGUUGAAACUGGCUGUCUUGAGUGAAGUAGAGGUUGGCGGAAUUCCGAGUGUAGCGGUGAAAUGCGUAGAUAUUCGGAGGAACACCGGUGGCGAAGGCGGCCAACUGGGCUUUAACUGACGCUGAGGCUCGAAAGUGUGGGGAGCAAACAGGAUUAGAUACCCGGGUAGUC